rnacentral:siRNA from 1 species
UGUUUGGACCUACGAUCGUGGA